rnacentral:lncRNA from 1 species
GGUACAGAUGAGGUGCUCUGCAGUAGUGAUGUACUCGCAUUUUUCGUGGAUUUAUUUCAGUACUAGGUUCGCACUGUGCGUUGUUACAAGCAACAAUAAUUAUAGCUAAAAUCAUAAUAUUUUUUCUUACAUGUCCACGCAUUAACGAGCCGAUCAAACGAGCUGCUAAGCUGCACAACAAUGCAUAUAAUUUUUUAGACCAAAUCAUCCUUGCAAAAUAUAGGUUUAUGCAAACUUUCUCAAUCAAAGAGAAACUAUUGCCACAUCUUUAGACCGAUCAUGACUUAAAAGCUUAUGUUCAAUUUUCUCUCACAUUUACUUACCCC